GAUGAACGCUGGCGGCGUGCUUAACACAUGCAAGUCGAACGAUUAAAGCCCCUUCGGGGGUGUAUAGAGUGGCGAACGGGUGAGUAACACGUGGGCAAUCUGCCCCUCACACUGGGAUAACUCAGGGAAACUUGAGCUAAUACCGGAUACUCCGGGACGAUCGCAUGAUCGACCCGGGAAAGCUCCGACGGUGAGGGAUGAGCCCGCGGCCCAUUAGCUUGUUGGUAGGGUAACGGCCUACCAAGGCGACGAUGGGUAGCCGAGCUGAGAGGCUGAUCGGCCACACUGGGACUGAGACACGGCCCAGACUCCUACGGGAGGCAGCAGUGGGGAAUUUUGCGCAAUGGGCGAAAGUCUGACGCAGCAACGCCGCGUGCGGGAUGAAGGCCUUCGGGUUGUAAACCGCGUUCAGCAGGGAUGAAGCGAAAGUGACAGUACCUGCAGAAGAAGCACCGGCUAACUACGUGCCAGCAGCAGCCGCCGUAA
rnacentral:rRNA from 1 species